rnacentral:rRNA from 1 species
GACAUAGGUGGCGAACGUUAUCCGGAUUUAUUGGGCGUAAAGGAUGCGUAGAUGGUAGAAUAAGUUAUUGGUCGAAAUCGAGCUCAACUUAUGGAGGCUAGUAAUACUGUUCUACUGGAGGGCAGAAGAGGUUAGCGGAACUUACACAAGUAGGGGUGAAAUCCAAUGAUCUGUGAGGGACCACCAAAAAAAAAGGCGAAGGCAGCUAACUAUUCUGUUUCCUGACAUUGAGGC